rnacentral:lncRNA from 1 species
GAUUGAUAUUUUGAGGCCCAGAAAAUUUAAAUACUACCUUUCAAAUUCUCUAAGGCUGGCUUGACUAUAUUUUCUUUCUUUCUUUUUUUUUUUUUUUUAAGAAACUCAGUUUUUCUCUUUUAUGUGAAUCAGUGAUUUUGGUGUCUUGAGCUGAUGUUAACCUCCAAGCUCUGAGUGGAGAUGUAAUUUAUUUUCCUCUGCCACUGUAUCUGCCUUCUUCGGGCUUAUUCUUGUCUUCUUCUUCUUCAACUUUUAGUUGCUGAAGUUUGGCUACUGUUUAUCCAGUCUGUCUGAGAUUCUGUAAACUGGAGUUAAUAUUACCUCUUUCGCCAAGCUAUCAUGAAGAUUCAGUGCAACUAUAUAAUUACAAAGCAUACAACAUAUAUAGAAGGCCCUUGGCACUGGUUUGCUCUGUCUUUUUGAGGAAAAUUAAGGUGAUUCCCUGCCCCUGUCCCCCAUCAAAAUUUAUCCCUGGAAGCCUGAUGAACCAGUUAGGAGAAUCUGGAGUUUCUCUGUAAGUUUUUUUUUUUAAUGUAUUUUUAUUGGAAUAAAGUUGAAUUACAAUUUUGUGUUAAUUAUUGC